rnacentral:tmRNA from 1 species
GGGGACGAAAGGCUUCGACGGGUCUAGGUGACUAAGGGUUGCAUGCCGAGCGUUUUCCGUGUGCUCGUUAACCAAACGGUAAAAAAAGAAACAACAACAACGCAUACGCGUUGGCUGCUUAAGAGUUAAUUCUCUGCAGUCCGUCCUAGGUUACUCUCGUUGAUCGGGGUUUCUUAAGGCGUCAUAAUUAGAUCGACUAGCUGAAGAGUCCCGGCCCGGGGCGCUGACGCGAAACUCAAUGGGCUCGUUCAUUCGCUUUUCGCCGGCUUUUGAUGGGUGAACUAAAACAAAAAACCCGGCUACGCAUGUAGAAGUCUUUAGGUUCUUAUUCUCGGACACGGGUUCAAUUCCCGUCGUCUCCACAU